UGCGUAGGCGGCUUUUUAAGUUUGGUGUGAAAUCUCCCGGCUCAACUGGGAGGGUGCGCCGAAUACUGAGAGGCUAGAGUGCGGGAGAGGAAAGUGGAAUUCCUGGUGUAGCGGUGAAAUGCGUAGAUAUCAGGAGGAACACCGGUGGUGUAAACGGCUUUCUGGACCGUAACUGACGCUGAUGCACGAAAGCGUGGGUAGCAAACAGGAUUAGAUACCCUGGUACGUCCACGCCCUAAACGAUGCAUAUUUGGUGUGGGCCAUUCAUUUGGUCCGUGCCGGAGCUAACGCGUUAAAUAUGCCGCCUGGGGAGUACAGUCGCAAGGCUGAA
rnacentral:rRNA from 1 species